rnacentral:lncRNA from 1 species
CCGCCUCGGUUAACGAAUUAAUGGAGGCGGGCCAUUUAGAAUAUCCGCCUCAGUUAAUCGAUAAAAAACAAAAAAAAAUGAGCCCAACAGUGAGCCUAUUCCCGAGCCCACCGGUGAGCCUGUUGCUAGCCCAGUAGCUGGAUCUGGCGCUCAUCUGGGCCUCGUGCCGCCCGUCUUCGAUCCACCACCCUAGCGCCGCCAGGAAGAGGGGGGCGGGGCUACAUGCCGCGCCGUGAAGGACGAGGAGGGCACGCAACCACCCAUCCACAUGCCCCGACGCCGCCGUUGCUCCCAAGCUGCUGCAGCCGUAGGUCAUAAAUCUGCGAAGGAGGAGGAUGUGAGGGAUGGAUCCAACUAGA